rnacentral:tRNA from 1 species
GGUUGUGGCUCAGUGGUAGAGUGCUUGCCUAGCAUGUGUGAGGCACUGGGUUCAAUACCCAGCACCA